GAUGAACGCUGGCGGCGUGCCUAAUACAUGCAAGUCGAGCGAAUGGAUUAAGAGCUUGCUCUUAUGAAGUUAGCGGCGGACGGGUGAGUAACACGUGGGUAACCUGCCCAUAAGACUGGGAUAACUCCGGGAAACCGGGGCUAAUACCGGAUAACAUUUUGAACCGCAUGGUUCGAAAUUGAAAGGCGGCUUCGGCUGUCACUUAUGGAUGGACCCGCGUCGCAUUAGCUAGUUGGUGAGGUAACGGCUCACCAAGGCAACGAUGCGUAGCCGACCUGAGAGGGUGAUCGGCCACACUGGGACUGAGACACGGCCCAGACUCCUACGGGAGGCAGCAGGAGGGAAUCUUCCGCAAUGGACGAGAGUCUGACGGAGCAACGCCGCGUGAGUGAUGAAGGCUUUCGGGUCGUAAAACUCUGUUGUUAGGGAAGAACAAGUGCUAGUUGAAUAAGCUGGCACCUUGACGGUACCUAACCAGAAAGCCACGGCUAACUACGUGCCAGCAGCCGCAGUAA
rnacentral:rRNA from 1 species